UACAGAGGGUGCAAGCGUUGUUCGGAAUUAUUGGGCGUAAAGCGCGUGUAGGCGGCUUUGCAAGUCGGGUGUGAAAGCCCUCAGCUCAACUGAGGAAGUGCGCCCGAAACUGCAGAGCUUGAGUGCCGGAGAGGGUGGCGGAAUUCCCCAAGUAGAGGUGAAAUUCGUAGAUAUGGGGAGGAACACCGGUGGCGAAGGCGGCGACCUGGGUCGAUACUGACGCUGAGGUGCGAAAGCGUGGGGAGCAAACAGG
rnacentral:rRNA from 1 species